AUAUCUUUCUUGACCUUUUGGCUAAGAUCAAGCGUAGUAUCUAUUUUAAUCAAUUUAAAAUGUGAUACGUGAGCCAUCAACCCGCAUGAUUUUAAAUUAAUUUUUUGAGGGGGAGGAUUCACUAUAGUAGCUUGCUAUUAGGACUCUCGUGUGUCACCCUUGUGUUGCACUACAACAUGGCCUAGCAUACCCCUU